rnacentral:rRNA from 1 species
UACGAAGGGGGCUAGCGUUGUUCGGAAUCACUGGGCGUAAAGCGCGCGCAGGCGGCUUGACAAGUCUGCUGUGAAAGCCCUGGGCUCAACCUGGGAAGUGCAUUGGAAACUGUCAGGCUUGAGUACCGGAGAGGAUGGGGGAAUUCCCGGUGUAGAGGUGAAAUUCGUAGAGAUCGGGAGGAAUACCAGUGGCGAAGGCGGCCAUCUGGACGGUUACUGACGCUGAGACGCGAAAGCGUGGGUAGCAAACAGG